rnacentral:rRNA from 1 species
UACGUGAGAGACUAGCGUUAUUCAUCUUUAUUAGGUUUAAAGGGUACCUAGACGGUUAUAAUACCCCUAAGUGGGUAAAAUGUAACUAGAGUUUUAUGGGAAAAAGUAGUACUAUGGGAGUAGAGAUUAAAUUCUUUGAUACCUAGAGGACUGGUUAAGGCGAAGGCAGCUUUUUAUGUAAAAACUGACGUUAAAGUACGAAGGCAAAGGGCACGAACAGG